rnacentral:lncRNA from 1 species
CUGGAGCAUUAAAACAAAAUCAUGUCUUUGGGAUAGGAAUUAGACUUCCAAAAAUAUAUCCUAAAAUUUAAUCUUACAUAACUGCAUUAGAAACUUUAAACACAAAGAUAUCAAUGUAAGAUUUUUAUGAGAAAAAUGAAGGUACCAUAAAUUCUUAAAAACAUGGAAGUUGUAAAAUAAAUGAUUUUCUUCAUGGUAAAUGAAGAAAACAUCAUGUUCAAACAAUUUAAAAUAGCUUAAAUUGUGCAUUAUGAUGCAUCAAGUGAAAAAUGUGAAAACUUUGAAUUGGCAAAGUAUUCGCUAUGUACACAAAAGCUUCAAAAUACAGACUGACUAUCUCUUCAA